UACGAAGGGGGCUAGCGUUGUUCGGAAUUACUGGGCGUAAAGGGCGCGUAGGCUGUGCUGUAAGUCAGGCGUGAAAUCCCCGGGCUCAACCUGGGAAUUGCGUUUGAUACUGCGGCGCUGGAAUGCAGGAGAGGAUGGCGGAAUUCCCAGUGUAGAGGUGAAAUUCGUAGAUAUUGGGAAGAACACCGGUGGCGAAGGCGGCCAUCUGGCCUGUAAUUGACGCUGAGGCGCGAAAGCGUGGGGAGCAAGCAGG
rnacentral:rRNA from 1 species